rnacentral:rRNA from 1 species
CCUACGGGAGGCAGCAGUGAGGAAUAUUGGUCAAUGGACGGAAGUCUGAACCAGCCACGCUGCGUGCAGGAAGACGGCUCUAUGAGUUGUAAACUGCUUUUGUACAAGGGUAAACCUGAAUACGUGUAUUCAGCUGAAAGUACUGUACGACUAAGGAUCGGCUAACUCCGUGCCAGCAGCCGCGGUAAUACGGAGGAUCCAAGCGUUAUCCGGAUUUAUUGGGUUUAAAGGGUGCGUAGGCGGAUUGGUAAGUUAGAGGUGAAAGGUCUGAGCUUAACCCGGGAACUGCCUCUAAUACUGUUGAUCUAGAGAGUAGGUGCGGUAGGCGGAAUGUAUGGUGUAGCGGUGAAAUGCUUAGAGAUCAUACAGAACACCGAUUGCGAAGGCAGCUUACCAAUCUAUAUCUGACGUUGAGGCACGAAAGCGUGGGGAGCAAACAGGAUUAGAUACCCGAGUAGUC